UGAGGAAUAUUGGUCAAUGGGCGCAGGCCUGAACCAGCCAAGUAGCGUGAAGGAUGACUGCCCUAUGGGUUGUAAACUUCUUUUAUAAAGGAAUAAAGUCGGGUAUGUAUACCCGUUUGCAUGUACUUUAUGAAUAAGGAUCGGCUAACUCCGUGCCAGCAGCCGCGGUAAUACGGAGGAUCCGAGCGUUAUCCGGAUUUAUUGGGUUUAAAGGGAGCGUAGAUGGAUGUUUAAGUCAGUUGUGAAAGUUUGCGGCUCAACCGUAAAAUUGCAGUUGAUACUGGAUAUCUUGAGUGCAGUUGAGGCAGGCGGAAUUCGUGGUGUAGCGGUGAAAUGCUUAGAUAUCACGAAGAACUCCGAUUGCGAAGGCAGCCUGCUAAGCUGCAACUGACAUUGAGGCUCGAAAGUGUGGGUAUCAAACAGGAUUAGAUACCCUGGUAGUCCACACGGUAAACGAUGAAUACUCGCUGUUUGCGAUAUACUGCAAGCGGCCAAGCGAAAGCGUUAAGUAUUCCACCUGGGGAGUACGCCGGCAACGGUGAAACUCAAAGGAAUUGACGGGGGCCCGCACAAGCGGAGGAACAUGUGGUUUAAUUCGAUGAUACGCGAGGAACCUUACCCGGGCUUAAAUUGCAGAUGAAUUACGGUGAAAGCCGUAAGCCGCAAGGCAUCUGUGAAGGUGCUGCAUGGUUGUCGUCAGCUCGUGCCGUGAGGUGUCGGCUUAAGUGCCAUAACGAGCGCAACCCUUGUUGUCAGUUACUAACAGGUUCCGCUGAGGACUCUGACAAGACUGCCAUCGUAAGAUGUGAGGAAGGUGGGGAUGACGUCAAAUCAGCACGGCCCUUACGUCCGGGGCUACACACGUGUUACAAUGGGGGGUACAGCAGGCAGCUACCGGGCGACCGGAUGCCAAUCCCGAAAGCCUCUCUCAGUUCGGACUGGAGUCUGCAACCCGACUCCACGAAGCUGGAUUCGCUAGUAAUCGCGCAUCAGCCACGGCGCGGUGAAUACGUUCCC
rnacentral:rRNA from 1 species